rnacentral:lncRNA from 1 species
GGAAAAUUAAAUGAUGGCUCCAUUAGGCCAAAGAUUUUUAAGCCUCAUGCUGGGAUCAUGAAUGCAACUUCUCUGUCUUUUUUUUUUUCUGUGAACUAAAAGAAGCAAAACAAAACACAUCUGUAAACGGAGUGUUUUGUGGUGUCUGCCCUGUCUUUGAACUGAUUGCCUCUGAGGCUCUUUUUCUGUUUUUACCCUCUAACACUUUGACUUGCUAAAAGCCACUUUACACAAAUCCACACAAUGCAGAACACUAGACCCACGGUCGCUGUAACACAUGAAAUAUGAAUGUAAUUUUUAGUUUUAUGUGCAUGUAGUGCCAGUAGUAAGUAACUUUUUAUUCAUUUAUUCAAAUGAUAUUCCUGCUUCUGGAAUAAUUUCAGUUUUGAUGUAAACACUCUUUAAAAGUCGUUGUCUGGUGUUUGUGAGCGUCCUCGAUGUGCGCAGCUGGAACAGACACGGUGAGUGGCGUCUUGAGGAGUGUGCCAAUGAGACAGCGGUGAGGUGGAGAUGUUUUACAACAGCACAAGGGGAGCUCUUUGAAGGCAAGCAUUUUUUUUUGUAAUUAACAUUUUUUUAUUGUAUUAAUAUGGCACUCAGGAAACCAUAUACAUUCAUAGUAGGCAUACAACACAUUUAACCCCCCCUCCACCCCCCACCCAUAAACAAACAAACCAAAACAAAACAAAACAAAAAGUCACCCAACUUUACAAAUGAUUCUUGGCUGUACAUAAAUGUAGUUCUCAUAUCACAGUAGCUAGGUAUGCACAAUGAGAUAAAAUGAAACAAGAACAAACAAUAAAAUAAUAGGAUAUUAAAAAUAAAUUUAAAAAUAAAUAAAUAAAAGAAUGCAUCUCUCUACUCAUACAUCUGAUGUUUUGUCCUCCAAGAAAGAUAGGUAUUUCCCCCAUUUUUUAUAAUAAACCUCAAGUCUACCAAAUGACUUCCAUGACAACCUUUCCAAGGCUGCCACUUUAGCCAACUGAGCAGACCACUCCUGUGUUGAGGGCACCCCCUCAGUCUUCCAUUCCCUGAGUAAUAUCUGUCUUCCUGUCAUAAUGCUAGUUUGGAUCCAGCUUUUAAUGUGCUUACUCCCCUCUGUUAGGACAGAGUCAUCUCCCAAAACAAAAAGUCUGGGGCAGAAUUGUAUUGGAAUCUCUGUUAUCUCACUAAUAAAGCUGUGAAUCCAUGACCAGAACUGCUGAACUUUAUCACAGGACCAUAGUGUAUGUAAUAGAUAGCCCUCUGCAGCUUUGCACCGCCAGCAGUUUGAGUUCUCAAUCAGACCUAGUCUGAACAGUCUAGAGGGGGUCCAGUAAAAGCGGUGCAGGAUUUUGAACUGCAUCAAACGCACUCUUGCAUCCCUAGACAUAGUUUUUAUGUUCUUACAGAUCUUUAGCCACUCCUCCUCUUCUAUUCUCCAACCAAGGUCUCUCUCCCAUGUAUUUUUAAGUGCUAGCAAGCCUCCAUCCCCAGUUGUCUGAUUCAGCAUAGAAUAGUACAUAGAGGCCUUGAAUCCUUGCCUAUAGUAUCUCAGUAUGUCCUCAAGUAGUCCAGCUGUCUUUGGAGCAGAAUGAGCAAAAAUGCUCAUUAACAUGUGGCGUAGCUGUAAGUACCUAUAGAAAUGUGACUUGGGGAUCCCAUAUUGAUGACUUAACUCAUCAAAUGAUUUCAAAGUGUUGUUGGAGUAUAAAUCACCCAGAGUAGCAAUACCCUUCUCCCUCCAAUCCUUCCACCACACAGGGGAUUUGUUAAUACAUAAUUUGGGAUUUAACCAGAUACUAGAGUACACAUUUAGAAAAGGAUCUAGAUUAAACAGUCUGGUAAUUUUACUCCAUAUCCCUUUCAUGUUGGAGAAUAUUGGAUGACUUUUGAUUGCCCCUGAGAGCUUAACUGAGAGACACUGGAGUAGUGGCACAGGGGCAAUAGUUUGUUCAAUAGAGAACCAGGGUGGAGCCCUCUCUGGUGGGAGUGACCAGUGGGCUAGAUGUCUCAAACUAAAGGCGUAAUAAUAAAAUAACAUAUUAGGCAAUCCUAAACCCCCUCUAUCAACAGGUCUUUGUAGUUUUUUAAUAUGUAAGCGGGGCUUCUUACCAUUCCAAACAAAUUUUUUCACUAUCCUAUCAAACCAUGUAAAGUAAGUCAUGGGAAUCUCCAGAGGAAUAGAAUGAAUUAAAUAAUUUAGUUUAGGGACACAGUUCAUUUUAACCACAUUAACCUUACCAACCAUUGAUAACUUUAGUGUUGCCCAUCUACUGGUAUCACAAUCAAUUUUAUUUAGUAAUGGAUCGAAAUUUACCUUAACUAGGUCUUUUAGCUGUGGUGGAAAGAGUAUGCCCAAGUAUCUUAUACCCUGCCUGGGCCAUUGAAAUGCGCCUGGUUGGAAGGCUGGGGGUGGGCAGUAAGCUGUUAAAGGGAGCGCCUCUGAUUUAGACCAAUUCACCCUAUAUCCUGAAAACUUUGAAAAUGAAUUAAUUAUUCUCAAAAGAGCAGGCACUGACCGACCUGGUUCAGAGGCAAAUAAUAAAAUAUCGUCUGCAAAAAGCAGAAGUUUAUGUACUUCGCCCCCUGCCCUUACUCCUGGAAAGUCAGUAGCCCUUCUUAUAGCAGCUGCCAAAGGCUCUAAUGCCAAGCAAAAUAACAAGGGUGAUAGGGGUGAGCCUUGUCUGGUUCCUCUCCCUAGGGUGAAAUAGUCUGAUAUGAGUCCAUUGGUUUGAACCGCAGCUUCUGGUUGAUUGUAAAGUAACUGAAUCCAUUUGAUAAACUUACUACCAAACCCAUAUAUAUCCAGUAUUUUUAACAAAUAGCCCCAUUCAACCAUAUCAAAAGCCUUUUCGGCGUCUAAAGAAAUGGCUGCCACAGGGGAUUGCUCAUCUGACACAGCCCACAUUAUAUCAAUAAAGCGCCUUACAUUAUCUGUAGAACUGCGGCCAUUAAUAAACCCAACUUGGUCAGGGUGAAUCAAAGACGUUAUGACUUUGUUCAAACGGUUAGCUAAGAUCUUUGAUAUAAUUUUUACAUCCAACUGGAUCAAAGAGAUUGGUCUGAAAUUUUUACAUUCUGUGGGGUCUCUCCCUUUUUUAGGAACCAAGGUAAUGAGUGCCUGUCUCAUAGUUUGAGGUAAUAUCCCUUUUUCCAGUGAUUCUGCAUAUAGAUCUAGCAGCAGUGGGGCUAACUCCGCUGCAAAGCUCUUAAAAAACUCUGCAGUAUAGCCAUCGGGACCAGGCGAUUUUCCUGCAGGCAGUGCUUUUAUCACUUCUAUAAUCUCUUCUACCGUAAUAUCUUCAUCUAGAAUUUGUUUCUGCCUUUCAGACAAUUUAGGCAGUUCUAAUGGGUCAAGAAAAGCAAGCAUUUCUUCCUCUGUUGAGGUAGAAGUAGAACUGUAAAGGCCCAUAUAAAAUUCCUUAAAACACUUGUUAAUAUCUCCAGUUGAUGUUAAGGUAUCUCCACUUAACGCCCUGAUCGCUGGAAUAGUGGAGACCUGCUCUCUUUCUUUAAUUAACCUGGCAAGCAGCUUCCCUGUUUUGUCCCCUGACUCAAAAAAGGUUUGCCUUGCCUUAAAUAAUAGAAAUUCAAUUUUUUUAGACAAGAUAGUAUUGUACUGGUACUUUAAUUGUGUUAACUCCUUAAGAAUAUUGUUAGACAUCCGUCUCUUUAGCUCUGCCUCUAAGCAUUUAAUUUUCCUUUCCAAUUCCAGAAGUUCUUUAGCUUUUGUUUUCUUGAUGGAUGAAGUAACUGAAAUAAUGCGACCUCUGAUGACAGCUUUCAGAGCCUCCCAGGCCACACCCAUAGAUGUACCUGUGGACCAGUUAGUCGCAAUAUAUAAAUCUAGCUCUGCCUUCAUCCAUAUCAUAUUGUCAGGAUCUUGUAAGAUGGAGGAGUUAAGCCGCCAUCUAGUAGAACGCUGUCUUUCACAAUAGGGCUGGAUUUCUAAACAAACAGAUGCAUGAUCGGAAAUGAUUAUAUUUCCUAUUGAGCAGGCAAGCACUGAAGGUACCAGAGGCUUUGAUAAUAAAAAAUAAUCUAUCCUUGAGUAUAUCUUAUGGACUGGGGAAAAGAAAGUGUAGUCCCUCCCACUGGGAUUUAAGAUCCUCCAAAUGUCCACCAACCCCAAAGCUUUACACAUUCGUUGCAGAGUAAGGCUUGCUCGUGGAGACCUACCCACUGCACCCCCACUAUGGUCUAACACAGGGUCCAUCAGUAAGUUGAAGUCUCCACCCAGUACAAUGUUGUGGUUACCCAUAGCAUUAAACCUCCCCUCCAGAUCUAGAAAAAAUAAAGGAUCAUCUCCAUUAGGAGCAUAUAUAUUUGCCAGGAUAACAGUCUGCCCCUGAAUUUCUGCCAAUACAAUAAUGAUUCUUCCUGAAUUAUCUUUUGUUUGUUGGAUACAUUUAAAUUGUAAAUUUUUAUUAAUAAGUAUGGCAACUCCCCUACUAUUGCUAGUCCCUUCACUAUAAAAAACGUGACCAACCCAACCACUACAGAGUUUGAUAGACUCUGUUGGCGAAAGAUGAGUUUCCUGCAAGAAUACCACAUCACAUUUAUCUUUCCUAAUGCUUGACAUUACUUUUUUCCUCUUCACUGGAUUCCCUAACCCUUUAACAUUCCAUGUAAAGAGACGCAUAUUACUCGUCUUAGACAUAUUUAGCACUAACAAAAAAUGAACUUGCACAUGGCUUACCACCAAGAUCUUGAAACAAAACACUGCGUUGGUGACUUAACAAAAAACAACCCCAAAAAACCCUGACACAUAGAAUAUGCAUUAGAACCCGAACUCUGCAUAUCCUGUUACCCAUUACGUUAACCUCGCUGUGGUCCAUGACUCCUCUACGAGUCUCCCUCUUAUGGGCCCCGCUGGCUCCACUGUUAGCAUUCAUUCAACCAGAACCAUAGUGACGUCGCGUCCUUUUAGUAAUAUUAAACUGAGCAAAAUCGUCAAACCUCGUCAGUCAGCACACAAGUAUAAUGGCAGUCUAAGUUAUGAGUCCAUUACUCUCGCCUUCAUCUCCCUAAAUACUCACGAUCAUUACAUGCUGUCAAUAAAAGUCAUGGCUUUCUUCGGGCAAGAAAAUGACUUCUCGCCGUCCUCGCACCUGACCUUCAAUGUAGCGGGAUACACCAGUCGAAAGCUCACCCCCCGGUCAUGCAGCUUCUUCUUACAGUCUUUAAACUUAUCCCUUUUCAGCAUUGUAGACCGGGAGAAGUCCGGAAAGAGCAUGAUGUUGCUGUUGACCCAGGUCAGCUUCCCCUUGUUCCUGGCCGCUCGUAGCACUAAAUCCCUGUCGGAUGAUCGAAGAAACUUCGCCAGAAUUGGACGUGGCUUCCCUCCUAUCGGCGGGCGUUGGGAGGGUACUCUAUGUGCUCGUUCAAUCUCCACCGUCUCCUCGAUGCUAAGCAACUCCGGUAUCAGAUCCUCCACAAAUUUGGCCACCUCGGUCCCUUCCGCUCCUUCUGGGAAUCCAAGAAAACGAACAUUGUUGCGUCUUGAUCGAUUUUCCAUAUCUUCCAAUUUCUCCCAAAUGGCCUCAACAUCCUUCUUGUUAGCGAGAGGAUUAGCUUGCAAGUCUUUAUCCACUGAUUCGAGGUAUUCUACCCGCCUCUCCAUUUCAUCAAUUCGUGAGAUUAAAGUGGAGACUUUAGCUUCGGUUGACGCAGUGGUCCGGCGAAUUUCUGCCAGUCCCUCUAUUUCGGUGGAGAUCUUUAUCAAAAUUGCGUUAAUAUUGCUAAUAUCCUGGCUUAUAUCCUGAGAGACGUGGCCACUGGAUGUAGCAUUAGCACCGCCAUCUUUAUCGCCCCCAUUCUGCGAACGCAAAAGCCUUUUAAUGUCGCCACCGGCGGGCGGUUUCGAGCCUCUUGACAUCUCCAAGAACUUCUAAUGCUAUUCUCACAAGCCGACUAUUUCUUUCUGGUUUUAAACCAACCUUAAAAUGAUAAUUACAGCAGAGCCUCGCGGAGCACAGUUCUAGGCAGCCUUUCCUCGCAUUGCGUCACGUGACCCUCUUUGAAGGCAAGCAUAAAGUGCCUGCACAAUUAGACUAAACUGUCAAGUCCUAGUAAGUAAUGUUUGUUCAUCUGUCUUUGAGUAAAGUGCUGAACUCCUUGUAACCUUGUGUUAAGUAAUUGCUGAACACUAUAAAAGGCAAAAUUUGUUUUUAGUUGAAUGCAAUGGAACUUAGUAGAGCUAAAAACUUUGGUCAAUAGCUGCAUGUGAAGUAGCAAGAGACUACUGAAUAAAUAAUACUCAACUGCAGCAUCUCUUUCUGCAUCUUCUUCUUACCGGGGUCUCAGUAAAUGGCUGUUUAACAUUAGUCUGGUUCUGCUCAAAGUUCUGGCUGUUAAAAGUAAGGACUGUUAUCUUGCUCUCUUACUUGCUAAUGGUGGACUUCGUAAAUAUUACCAAAGAUUUGUUUGGAUUUGUACAUUUCGGAAUUUAACAUGAAUUGGGACCAUAUUAAUCAAGAUUUAUGGACUGAUUGACCAAUUUGCCCAACUAAUUGUUGUUUUGCUCUUACAAGCAGCAUGUUGCAGUAAAAUGUAAACUAUAUCAAGAGAAUGACCAAACCGAUGCUUAUUUUAAUCUUAUUUUAAAUCAUGGCGAUGUCAGUUAUAGACACAGAAAUAGCAAACACAGACUUAUGUUCUUUUAUAUCUUUAGAAACAAGUAUUAAAAUAACCAAUUUCUUGUGAUUAUUAUCGUUAAAAGUUAAAACAAUUUUAAAGGGACAGUAUUUGAAAUUCUUUUCUCAGAUCCAAAAUUUUGUAGAACAUUGAAGAAGAUAAGUUUUAGAGGGUUUUACUAGCUUUUUCUAUUGUGAAUAUCAAUUAAAAAUUAUAUUCACUUUAAAUCUGUACUCCCACUAUUGUUUUCCAUGACCCAACAUCUGCAAAGAGUACAUCUAUAUUAUGUCAAUACCUUCUGGUCACUGAAUGCGCUACUCAAUGUUACUAUUGUAAUUUUCCACUAAUAGACUAAUUAUCACCCAAUUACAACAUUUUUUUGUAUUUUACUGAAUUAAUGACAGUUAUUUUUUAGCCUGUAAGGGGGUAUUCUACAAAAAUUGGCACUUAAUCACUUCUUAGGGAUUGAAGCUUUUCUCUGGUUCGCUUCUGGAAAUGCAAUCAUAUCUGCAACAACAGUUUAGUUAGCUUAAACAUCAAGAUGACCCUUCAGUCCUCAUGGUGCAACCACACAACUGUACAAGUUACAUCAAACUGUAACUAGUGUUAUAUCUUAAUGUAGACCUAUGGGUAUGAACUAAGGCUGAAAUGAUUGAUCUUUAAAGCCACACUUGUCAAUCUUUUUUAUUACUUAUUUUGCAUAGGAAGCGAAUUAUGAAAAAAAAAAAAAAAGUGCCUCAGUUCUUAAAGUGAUUAAUAAAAUUAUAUUGGUCCCCCGAGCUUUAAAAAGUCAUUUGAGUGUUGAUCACAAUAUGAUAUCAGUGAAUGAAGUUUAAAUUAUUUUUAUGAGUGCUGGUAAAGUAUUCGUUAAAGUCUAUAUCCCCUGUUAUAAAAAAUUAUUGCAAUGCUUGAUACAGUUUUUCUGCUGCUGCUAUCAAAUAUUGUUGGAGUCAGGAAUUCAUUGGGGUCACUCCAUACAAUGACAGAUUGGAUUAAAUGCAGGACAUUGAGAUGUCUUCCCAGGCUGCCAGCAUACAGCAGAUUUAUAUAAGCAUUUUAAUUAAGUUUUCAAUUACUAUUUCUUCGGCUACAACCUCCCCUAUAGCAUCCCUUCCUUUCUGAGCCUUGCCGUCAGCCAAAUUAUUGUGUCCUGUGCUGGGCAGCUGAGCAAAAUGCUGCAGGAUAUAGGGCUAAGUCCCCAUUCUCUCCUUUUCUCUCCCCCCCUUCCUCACUUUAUCCACAGUAAUCCCCAAGAGCCCUGGAUGAUAAUGGGUAAUGGAUCCGGGGGACCCAUCCCUUCCAGAAACACACACUCUCACACCCUUACACUCAGCGGUAAUGCUGAAGGUGCAAGUUCCUAUGUCUAACAUUCUGCGUCCCUGGACCUUGUAUCCAUGGCGAUUACCCCAUCUUCCCAAUCUGAAUCCAUACGUUCCAUAAUUCGUUAUCUGUAUUUCUACUGGGGCAGGUUUCAUAUUCAGGUGUUGGUGGAAAGUAACAGCAGAAAUGCAGAGUUUUCAUGGAAGCAAAAAUAAUGAGCAGCUCUCUCUCCAGAAGACUUCAGAGUUACUUGGUGAGAUGUAUCCUUUGGGGUGCCAUCAAGACUUUGUAAGACUAUCUAUUUUUGUCUUCGAUGACAGAAGUAUUACAUACGCCUGUGCAUUGAAAUUAACAAUAUGACUUUUAGUUUCCCUGCUUACAUUUAUAUUUUGAAAUAUUUGGGUGUUUUCAAAACAAAACUGAAGUUUUCGUUUGCAUUUCUGGAUUUAAUUACUUUUGGUGAGUGUCUAUAGCUGACUCAAUUUCUACAGCAGCAACAGUAUUGUGAAACCAAACUACAGUUGCAGUAUUGUGAAACUGUGGUGCACUGAGAUAUGCAGUCGUGCUUCCUUUCAUAAUAAAACGUCUGCAUUACGACUGAUACGGUUUCCUGUUCGUGGAGUAUCCUGUUCAUGGACUUCAGCUCAGCGUUUAACACCAUUGUUUCCAUUUUCAUCCAUCACAAGCUGGCUGACCUCACAGUGCCAGCCCCCACCUGUUAGUGAAUCACCAGCUUCCUGACAGAUAGGAGGCAGCAAGUGGGGUUUAGGAAUAUCAUAUCCAGCACCCGGACUUUCAGCACUGGUGCCCCCCAGGGGUGUGUUCUCUCCCUGCUGAUCUUCUCCCUCUACACCAACGACUGCACCUCAGGGGACCCAUCUGUCGGUCUCCUGAAGUUUGCGGAUGACAACACAGUGUCAUCAGUCUCAUCCAAGAUGGUGAUGAGUCUGCAUACAGACGGGAGGUGGAUCAACUGGUCCUCUGAUGCAGUCAGAACCAUCUGGAGCUGAACCUGCUCAAGACUGUGAAGCUGACAGUGGACUUACACAGGAGCCCUCCUGCACUCGCUCCCCUCACUAUUCUUAAUGACACAGCUUUCCCUGGAUUCACAGUCUCCAGGGACCUAAAGCUGACCUCUCACAUAGAUUCAAUUAAAAGAAAAAAAAAAGCCCAGCAGAGGUUGUACUCCCCGCGACAGCUCGCUUAGUUCAACCUACCUCAGAAGCUGCAGGUUCAUCUCUACGCCAUCAUCAUCCAGUCGGUUCUCCGCACAUCCAUCACUGUUUGGUUUGGGUCAGGCACCAAGCAGGACAGGAACAGACUUCAAGAGACUGUCAACUAACAGACUAUCAAGACUGCAGAAAAAAAAAAACAUUGGCUCUCUUGAAGUAUCUAUUAUGCACACAGUACAGGAAGCAAUUAUCUGAGCCAGCAGCACAAACAGGUAUGCAACAAAAUAGCCUUCUGGAUGUAAAGUACUCAAUUAUUGCAUACUGUCUGUUACUGUUGGCGUGUCCUGAUUUAAAUCUCAUUUUCUUCUGAACUCUGGGGCUUCAUUUAUAAAGACCUUCAUCAAGACUCAGAACUCAGUGUAGCUGUUGCCAGACUAUUUUACCUGUGUAUUUGAUUUGAUUUAACCAGGAUAACUGAUUAAAGAACUUUUGUAACAAGAGUGUUCUGGCCAAGACAGCUGCUGUACAUUCAAACAAAGUUACAGACAUACCAAUGUUUAAUAAUCACAGUACACAUGUCAGCAUUUCUCUAAUAAUACAGCAGAUGUCAUACUGUUUACCAUCGCUUAAAGAGUCUGUAAUAUUCCCAGAAUGAGAUCAUGAAAGGUGAAAAUGAAAAUAUAUUACAACAUAUAUGACAAUGAACAUCACAUGAUCCACAGUCAAAUGUCAGCGCACGUCUUACUGGAAGAGUGUUUUAGUCCAAGCUUAACUCUCUCCCACAGCAAGAAAUGUACAAAGCUUUUUUCUCUCUUCUGUAAAUUUCUCUGGUUGAGGAUUUAGGGUCCAGUGGUUGGAAUAUGGAUGAAAGGCUGUACUGUGUUGCUGCCUUGACCCAGCCUGGUGGUCAAUAUCCUGACCGAGACAAAUCAAACACCCCCCGAUGUCCAGUUGCCCGAGGCCAUUCAUCGCAUUUCAAAGUGCUUGGAUCUCAAACCUUUGCAAAGCCACGAGCAACUCCUUUUAACUGAUGCCCAGCAGCAACAGCACACAGAGCUGCAGAAUAAUUCAGCUCAUCCGCAGUAGGAGGCCAUACUCUAUCACGUAUCACAUUCAAAAGCUCAGAACCUGUUGAAAGACGCAUUUUCUUAGGUAGCCGUCUACCUUUGUUCUCUGCUUCAGAGCAAGCUAGCAGAAGCCUACUUUGUUAAACAAGGAACAAAAUCACUGACCUCUCGUUUUCUUGUGUCACAUCAGGAUGGGAUCAACACAUGCAUGAGGUCCGAGCUGGAUACUCUCAGGGGCUAAACUAGCAAUGUGCAACACACUGGAGCUAAAUCUAUCUCCUGCAAAAUUUGUUUGAAUAAAAUUGUAAUUCUAAAAUAGUAGAGGCUAAACCUUAACACAGGGCCAUGAUCCAUUUAUUUGUCUUUUUAAUUAAUCCGCAGCUUUUCCUGUUUUGGAUUGAGGAUCUACUAUAUCUUAAUACAAACAAGGCUUAAGUGUGAUACUGUAAAUAAUGGACGGUCGGCUGUUUAAACAAAAUAAACCCUUUGAUUAUACCUUUAUGUGAUUGUGAUUGCAUGUUAUUGAAUGUGCAAUGACACAAAUGAAUAUUAACCAGAUACAACAUUGUGAGCACAGGUCUGGUCUUAUCAUGUUUUUGGCCUCAAGGCAGUUGUCCUUGAGUCAUUUAAUUGGUAAUAUCUAGUUCAGAGAUUCAAUUAAAAUAAAUGAUGUGCACUGCAUUUUAAUUCACACAGCACUAGAGGGAUUCAAUGUCAGACUCUGCUCUGAAUCAGUGUUUAGGCUUUAAUGAUUUUAAGAGUCUGUGUAACUACACAUCAAAGAAAUAAUUCAACAUUUUGGGAAAAUGUUCUUUUUUGCUUUGCUUCAAUACAGUGUAAAAUACAACUGGAGGCUGUUGGCGAAAGCAGCUGGUAAAAAAGAUGAAUACAUAUUCAAGCGAUAAAAACAGUAUAUCUAGAUCCCUUAAGCUCAGCAGUGUCAACAUUGUUUAAUGUUUAAUAGGAACAUUGUGUAAAAGUUUUUGACAUGCAACUCCUCCCAAAACUGCACAAGUUCAUAUCAAUUCAACGUUGAUAUGCAGAGGUCACUUCUGGAGAUGGGGAUUUAUGGUGGUGAAGGUAGCAAUGGUCUUUAACGCUCUUAUCAGGAAUGUUGCAAUUAUGAUAGUUGACAAUAAUAAUAAUAAUAAUGAAAAGAACUCUUCUUGACUUUUGACAGCCAAAUAUUUUAUUCAGGGUAGAUAUUUCAUGUAAAAAAAUGAGCUAUUGACUCUUUAGCUUGACUGACACCUACCCCCUUGUGCCAUUAAAAAUUACAACAAAUGAAUCAUUGGUCUUGUUACUGAUGGUCUUGUUUGCUUACCAAUUUCAUCAAAAAAUGCAUCAAUUUGGGUUUCAGUCUAUUUAAUAAACAUGUUUUUAAAAAAUCCCAAUCUAUUGCUGUGGUGCAAGAAUUUCCAAUGCAGUGAAUAAAUUGAGUUGCACAUUCACUUUCUGUUUAAAUAAGAGCAUAAUAGUAAAUGGAUAUGAUCAACACCUCUAUUAUUAAAGGUGGGGUAGGCAGGAUCUGAGGAAGUGUCAGUUUUUAGGAGAAAUUUUGAAUGUAAACACUACCCCUCCCAACCAGUUUUCCCCUCAGCUCCUCCUCUCCCGCCAUCUCUGCUCCAAAAAUCCCCGCCCACAUACAGACACUCCUGCUCGCCUGCAAUUUUUCAAUUUAAUUCAGAUAUAAUGCAGAUAAAUAUGUCAGAUAAUUACAAAUGGGGCCCAGUCAACGUUAAAGUAAAAAGCACUGGUGCUACUGUAGAUUCCAACAGACUAUCAGCUAACACAAUGUUUGCAGGAUUUCUACAGCCAAGAUAAAGUGACAUACUCCAGUAUUUCUCCAGUAUUUACUUUGUUUUCUUGUUUGUGUUGGCAGUCAUGGCCAAAGGAGGAUUUAGACAACUUUCCAUACUUUCUGGUCGGUUUCUACUGUCUGAUAUUGUAGCACGCUAACUGUGUUUGGGCUCAUGAACAACACAAGGAAGCAGCGUCUGCCUCACAACCAAUCAGCACUAAGGAGCAGCGUCCGCCUCACAACCAAUCAGGUUGGGGGAGGAGGAGAAUGGCUUUGUUUACAGUCAGAAAGAGCGGAGCGCUCUAAAAAAUUUAAAAUGUUUACUACACAAAGAUAACAAAACACAGCGAUAUAUUACCAAAUGUCAUCAAUAAUUUAUAGCUACUGGCUGAUAUUAAAAGCUUUUUAGUAUGUAUGCCACAAAGAAGAUUCUUCUUUAACCAAAUUUUGCCUACCCCACCUUUAACCUCAAUCCC